rnacentral:lncRNA from 1 species
AUCCUUUGGGUCGGCUGCCCACCGGGAUACCCUAACUUUUGCCUAAGUCAAUCUUGUUUUCAAGCUCUCAACUUAGCGGGCUUUUCAUUUGCUUUUGAUUUUUUUCAUUUUGUUUCAUUUUUCUUUUGGAGCAAAUCCAGUGGCGCUGCUCUCGACAUAUAUAAGAGAUCAAUGGUAUGAAGGGUCUUGGUUUCCUGCAGAAAAAACCCAAUAGCCUCUCACAGGUGUGUACUAG